rnacentral:lncRNA from 1 species
ACAAGCAUACCUUCAUCCCCAUGUCAGUAAAUCCACCGGACCUUUCCAUUGUCCUUCUUCCAGGGAUUUCCAUAACACUUUCAGAUAAACUUUCCUCUUUUCCUCUAACACUUGCCAAUGUCUUUCUGCUGGAGUCUUACCAUCCAGACCAGGAGUCAAACAAUUUAAAGUAAAUAAGGCUAAAUGUAAUUUUAUUUGAGGUGGUAGCUGGUCUCCUAUACCCCCUUUCUGUUUUUUCAACAUGCAUUGUAAUGUUUGAUGUGCCCACUCUAUAAUGCCUUGUCCUCAGGGAUUGUAAGGUAUUCCUGUUUUGUGGGUGAUUGCCCAUAACUGUAAAAAGUUUUGAAAAACAUGGCUAAGUAUAAGCAGGUCCAUUGUCCGUUUUUAAUUGUUUAGGGAUCCCCAUAUGAGCAAAUGAUGACCGACAAUGUCACCGCACAUGAGCAGCUGUCUCGCCUGUUUGGCAUGUAGAAUGCAGCAUAUGAGAUUAAGUGUCUAUAGUUACAUGAACAUAGCUAAGCUUGCCAAAGGCUGCUAUAUGUGUAACAUCCAUCUGCCAAAUUUCAUUUGGAGCCAAGCCUUGUGGAUUGCAUCCUUCCACAGGUAUAACACCAGGGACAUGCUGACAAGUGGGACAGGCUUGCGCCAUAGUUCGAGCCUGGCUGUGAGGCAGGUGAAACAUACGAGUAAGGGCGAGGUGUUUUGAGGCAGUAUUGCCUGAGAAGUUUGAGCUUGUUGAAAUACAGAACAAACCAGUUUAUCUGCUCUAUCAUUACCUAGAGAUAGUGGUCCAGGGAGUUGUAUGUGAGAGCAAAUAUGAGAAAUAUGUAAAGGAGCAGCAUGAGAGCGAACAGCUUGUUGAAGUCUUAGAAACAAGCUAAGCAGUUCUGGCUCUAGUGUGCUUUUAAUUGUAGCAGUUUCUAUGCGACUGGCUACAUUUACGACAUAGGCUGAAUCACAGACAAUGUUAAUGGGAGUUGAAGCUGUGAGCUCUAAAACUAGAAUGACUGUAAUUAACUCUGAGCGUUGAGCUGAAAGUCCAGAGAUCCUUAUUGUCUGAGUAUGUUUAGGUCCCAACAUAGCUGCACGCCCUUUGGAAGAGCCAUCGGUAAAAUAGGCCUGACCACCUGGAAUAGGCUCGUGAUGAGUAAUCACAGGGAAGAUAAAAUAAUAGACAUUAUAAAAUUGUAAAACUUUGUCCGAUGGAGAGUGGUUGUCUAUUAUUUCCACAAAAUCUGCAAGAGCAAUUUGCUACACAGUCGAUAUUUCCCAUGCUGUGGCCUGUUGUUGGGAAUCCAAGGAAACAAUAAUUGCGUCUGGAUCAUACCCCAUAAGCACUUUUAAUUUAUGCCUACCUAUAGUCACAAGUUGUGUAAUUAAAGGAAGAUAGGCUUGCAAGGUUUUAACUGUUUGAUUAGGUAGAAAGAGCCAUUCUAUUACUGAUACAGACUUGUCUAAGCACUGGCCCAGGAGUCCUGUUGGAGAAUGAGGGGUAUGAAGAAUAAGCAAAGGCUUUUGCGGCUACAGCCAUGAGGCAUGUCUCUGCUGAAGCAUCUGUUCUACAAGUUGCAACUCAGCUUCUGCCUCUUUGGUCAAUUGCUGCGGGGAAAUCUAAUGAAGAAUCUCCUUGCAGGGUUUGAUAAAGAUGUUUGAGUCGAUAAGUUGCAAUACCUAGCAUUGCGCACAGCCAAUGAAUAUCCCCUAACAACUGUUGAAAAUCAUUUAAAAUCUGUAACCUGUCUUUAUGGAGAACUACUUUCUGAGGCCGAACACUUCUUUCAGUAACAAUAGUGCCUAAGUAAUGGUAUGGGGAAGUUGCUUGUACUUUCUCUGGACCAAUUUUGAGAUUCCAUUUAGUCAAAGCCUGCUUCCUUUCUCUGAAUAACUGAUGUAAGAUUUGAUCUGUAGGAGUGGCCAAAAGAAUGUCAUCCAUGAAAUGAAUGAUGUGAGCAGUAGGAAACAUAUUCAGAGUCUCCUUCAAUGUUUGUCCUACAAAAUGCUGACAGCGUAGGACUGUAAAGCAUGUCUUGGGGUAAAACUUUCCUUUGAUAAAGAGAAACAGGUUCUCUUGGAUGAAUAGAAGGCACAGAGAAGGCAGAUCCAGGCUUAUCCUUCUCGUGUAAGGGUAUAGUAAAGAAAGGUCUAUGCCGGGCGCAAUGGCUCACGCCUGUAAUCCCAGCACUUUGGGAGGCCGAGGUGGGUGGAUCAUGAGGUCAGGAGAUCAAGACCAUCCUGCCUAACAUGGUGAAACCCCGUCUUUACUAAAAAUAC